CGCUCAUUUAUACCCGUUCAAAAUCAGCCAACUUGCUCAUUUAUUGACUUUACCCAUUUUGACAUGUCCAAAAUCAGUCCAAUCCACCAAUUUGACACCCUUAUAUAAAAGAUUAUAAAGGAGAAAAUAACAUAAGUGAAAGUUAGCAAAAUGGACAAUAUAAACAAAGACCAUAGAAGGUCAUUUUCAUUAAAAGUACACGAAUAAACUUAGUGCAAGAUUGCACAAAGGAUUGAAGUGCCACACUUAUUUAAAGUGUAACAAAAGGCUACUAAAAGCCAAUUAAAACACAACAUUAGCUACACUUUUAAGAAAGGUAGCAACUUUAUUAUGUGUGACACUGUGUCCUUAGUUUCUUCUAAUCUCUAAUUAGUUAUCCAUUAUCUCUUCUUCAAGCAAAGCUGCAGCCAAAGUUUUUGCUUCCUCAACCAAAGUUUCAGCUCCUGUUUUUAUCAUCUUCUCAUCAAACACACAUGGCUUAGUGCAUAGGCACCGUCUGAGGAGUUUGCUACAAUGACCAUCAGUAAAUUUCUCACUGAUACAAGCUUUUCUGCAUGGUGGUUUGGUAAUGCAUAUUCCAGGGAAUGUAUUGCUUUCUGUUUUGCAUUCUCUAGCUUGCACCUCUACAAUCAUUCACAAGUACUUACCAAUGUUAGAACAAAAGAAUAGAUAGAAUUGAAAGAAACCAUUAAAACAUGAAUAUAUUCAAGGUUCUUACAUACAUACAUACAUACUACAUACAUACAUACAUACAUACAUACAUACAUACAUAUGUGUAUAUAUAUAAGGGCAGCCCAGUGCACAAAGGGUCCAGGGAAUCGAGUCGCAUCCCAAAGGGUGUAAUGUAGAUCGACAGCAUACCCUAAAAAAUAUAUUGUCCCUAUACUAUUUGGAAGAACUAAUGCAAACAUAUUUUUUUCAGGAUUUUUCAAACCUUCCAGACGUAUACUAUAGAUUAAUUCGUCAUUUUAACAACAAAUACAUCAAAAAGAUAACCACACUUGAAAAUAUACUUGACAAAUCAUAAGAAGUGUAACUUGAUGUUCAUUAUGAUAGCUAAACCAGUCAUAGCUUUUAUAUUUAUUUUCUUAAAAGCAGAGUUGGGUAAUUAAGUGACUGGAUAGCAAGAAAUAGAAUCAUAUUAUAAAUUAUAUUUAUUAUUUUAUGUGGUUUUGGAGGAAUAAAUAGAGACAAACCAUAGGCAACAAACAGCAUCAUUGCCAAGAUAGCAAAUGCCAUGAAGCACAAGGAGCGAGCCAUAGUCUCUUUGAAUGAUGAAAAAUGAUAGGAAUUUUAAUAAAAAGAAAGAUUGCAAUUCAGAGGUGUGAAAGAACAGUAACUCAAUAGAGGUAUUUAUAGGCGCUGAACUAAGAGUAGAUAAAAUUUAAAGCAAAAAGUAAACAAAUAAAAUGAAAUAAUUAUUGCACUGGAAUUGUUGGUAAUUUGAAGUUUGGAGAUACAUAUUUCUUAUUUUUUUUCUUUUUCUUUUUUGUCUUUAACCAAUGUCCGAUAUUAGGACCUCAACUAGUGUUGAUUCGGCCCGUGUAUAGUAAAAAACAAUAACAUCAAUAAUAAUAACCCAGAAAAUUUUCACUAGUGGGGUCUGGGGAGGGUAGUGUGUAUGUAGACCUUACCCCGACCCUGAAGGAGUAGAGAGGUUGUUUUCGGAAGACCAUCGGCUUAAGAAAAUAAAAAAGACAAAAGGAGAUAAUAUUAGUAUCACCUUAGAAAUCAUAGGAAAAAUAGGAACAACAUGAAAUCCAGAAAAAAGAUGCAAAGCAAAGCAAAAAUUAUAGCUAGUAAAUAGGUCAUGCACUGAAAAGCAAAAAGCGUAAUAGUAAGACACAACGUUGUCACUAUCUGUCUUAGACAAAAAACCUGUCAGCCUAGUCUCACAAAGGUACAAAUUAAGACAAGAAUCAACUACCUUCUAACCUAGAACUCUAAUACCCGUGUAUAGUUAAAAGUACUUCUUAUAACAUGCUCAUGACUUGAAAUCGAGACUUCUAUCUAAGGGUGUAGGAAUCAUAUCGAUUGCACUACCAUUCGUGAUGGUUUAAAAAUAUCCCAAUGUUGUAGCAAAAUUAAAACUUAUUCUAAUGAUAAAUGUUGUUUUAGGCACACUACGACACAAGAGGAGGGUUAACUGGAUAGUUAACACUUAAAAAUUCUUCCAAAGUUUUUUAGAAAUUUGCUUAACCUAUAGUAUCUAGACGAUGGAAUUGGUUCUCAAAUUUGUCCUAGUUACUGCGCAAGUAAUAACAACGCGGAAUUAAGGAAAGAACAACGCACAAACUUUUACGAAAAUACUAUUGUCACUCAAAGGUGUAAAGAUCACGACCUAACCUAAUAGCAUUUAACCCAAACUCCGCUAAAAUAAAGAGCCAUUACUCAUAUUACAACUUUGUAACCUAAGAGAUUAAGUCCAAUCACUUUCCCCAACAAUCACUAGGUUGUUGCCCUUCGAUUUAACUCUAACUUGAAAUAGAUUAUUUGGUAUCCUAAGCUCAAAGAGUCAUAUGGUGCAAAUUAUUCGGUGUACCUUUAUAAAAUCGAGUUUUCAAAUUCCAUGUUUGUCUUGUUGUUUUUUUCUAUCUUUUCCUACAAUUAAACCCGGUGGGUAAUAUAUUCGUUGUAAGAACGUCAAGAUUAAACCCAUCCAAUGUAAAUACUGAAUCUAUCUCUUUAUAAUAAUGCACGGUGCACCCAUCUUCUUAAACUACUGGUUACUCAUCUCUUUCAAUGGCGAAGCCACAUGGUCACAAGGGUGGUUAGUUGACCACCCUUUGUUGAAAAAGUGUACUGUUUAUAUAGAUCAAAUAUUAUAUUUUAGAGGUAUAUAACACAUAUUGAACACCCUUUGUCGGAAAAAAUUCCACUUCUUUCAAAUUUGAAUAUCCUUAAAAAAAUUCCUAGCUUCGGCACUGAUCUCUUCACCAUGAAGCUGAAUCACUUAAUCUACUUGGUUCUUCACAAGUCACACCAAACUUAUGCCAAAAAUUUAAUAGAAGUUAAAGUUGUACAAAUUCAUAUAGUACAAAGAUAAAUUUGAUGUUUUACCAGAACAUAACACUGAGCUCCACUGCUCUCGCAACAGGUGAAGGAAGAGGUUUAAUAUCAACCUUUAUCUUCUUCAUGAAUAUCAAAAUUGUCCAAAUGGCAGAAUCAGAUACUGCAGUUUCAAGUACAGUUUACUUCAUAUGAGUUGAGAACUCAUUCUCACAAUAUAAGAAUGCACAGUUCGGGUCAGAAUUUGAAGUUUAUGAGUUCGAAAUUCUAGCAAUAUAAAAAAACGGAAAAGGCUUAAAACUGCCACUCAACUUUCAGAAAUGGUCUAUCCAUGCUAUCCGUUAAAAAAUGCUCAUUUCAUGCCACUACCGUUACACAUUUGGCCCAUCCAUGCCAUUAUUGACUAACGACUCAAUUUUUAUAUUUAUUUUAAUAUUUAUAACACCCACAUUUUCACGUGUCAUGUCGUUAUUGGUCCGAGUUAACCCAUGCCCCACUUAAUUUUAACCUUGGUUAGGUCCAUCUACCCAAACCCACCCGAUUAAAACAUACCCGAAUCAUUCACCCAACCCAAACUCUUCAUACCAAAUCCCCUUCUCUCCAAUCGUCUUCCCCAAGAUGUAAAUCUUGGCAGUGGUUGUUAUGACGAUGAUGGUGAUGACCACCGUAACAUAUCCGAACACCAUCUCCACUGCCACCGCUUGUCACCGAAAACUUCCACUUUGCAACCUUGUCUUCUUCUUCUUCUUCUUCAAGUAUUUCUUCAUCAUUUUCUUGAAUUGCUUCAAUCACCUCUUCUUCAUCGUCCAGGGGGAAAUCUUCAUUUUCCUCUUAUGUUUCUUCAUCUUCAUCACGAAUGAGAUGUAAUUUCAGUCCUCCAUCUUGGCCAGAAGUAAGGAGAGUUACGAGCCGACCAAUUUUCACCUCUGUCAACUCUAACCUUCUAUCUUUUCUCACCGCACGCAUGAAGAAAUUUGACUUUCCAUCUUGGUUUAAGGACGAUAAUGGCGGCGGAAACUUCUUUUCUUUCUUCUUCGAAUUACAUCUUUGCCAGCACCUUGAACUAAGUGGGGAAGACGACCGGAGAGAAGGGGGUUUGGUAUGAAGAGUUUGGGUUGGGUUAUUGAUUUGGGUAUAUAUUAACCGGGUCGGGUUUGAGUAGGUGGACUUAACCAAGGUUAAAAUUAAGUGGGGCAUGGGUUAAUUCAGACCAAUAACAACAGGACACGUGGAAAUGUGGGUGUUAUAAAUAUUAAAAAAAUAAAAAUUGAGUCGUUAGUCAAUAAUGACAUGGAUGAGCCAAAUGCGUAACGGCAGUGGCGUGAAAUGAGCAUUUGUUUAAUGGAUGACAUGGAUAGACCAUUUCUGAAAGUUGAGUGGCAUUUUUAGGCCUUUUUCGUAUAAAAAAUAAAAAGUUGCGGGUUAAAUAGUAAUAUAAUCAAAUAGUAUUUUCUUUUUAGUAUUUAUGUUAUAUCUCUUCGUUUUAUACACUUUUAAGAAAAAUAUUAAAUAACCCUAAUCAUAAGAGUAUACGUUAGUCAAAAUUUACCUUUUUUUAUACCAUAGAAGGUCAUUUUCAUUACAAAUACACAAAUAAACUUAGUGCAAGAUUGCACAAAGGAUUGAAGUGCCACACUUAUUUAAAGUGUAACAAAAGGCUACUAAAAGCCAAUUAAAACACAGCAUUAGCUACACUUUUAAGAAAGGUAGAAACUUUAUUAUGUGUGACACUGCAUCCUUAAUUUCUUCUAAUCUCUAAUUAGUUAUCCAUUAUCUCUUCUUCAAGCAAAGCUGCAGCCAAAGUUUUUGCUUCCUCAACCAAAGUUUCAGCUCCUGUUUUGAUCAUCUACUCAUCAAACACACAUGGCUUAGUGCAUAGGCACCUUCUGAGGAGUUUGCUACAAUGACCAUCAGUAAAUUUCUCACUGAUACAAGCUUUUCUGCAUGGUGGUUUGGUAAUGCAUAUUACAGGGAAUGUAUUGCUUUCUGCUUUGCAUUCUCUAGCCUGCACCUCUACAAUCAUUGACAAGUACUUACCAAAGUUAGAAUAAAAGAAAAGAUAGCUAGAAUUGAAAGAAACCAUUAAAACAUGAAUAUAUUCAAGGUUCUUAAAGAUACAUACAUACAUACAUGUGUGUAUAUAUAAGGGCAGCCCAGUGCACAAAGGGUCUAGGGAAUCGGUGUCAUGACCCAGAUAUCCCACCCUCGGGAGUCGUGAUGGCGCCUACUAAUGGAAGCUAGGCAAGCCGACCAUUUGAACAAAUUAAUUUUUCCCCAUUUUAAUUCUUUAACAAGUGUGAAUCAACAGUUUAUAAACAAACAACGAAAAUUUAAAACAAGCGGAAGAAACAAUUAAACCAUUUAAAUGAUUCCAACAUAAUUUCUUAAUAAAAAACUACCCAAGACUGGUGUCACAACUCCACAGACGGUCUAAGAAUUCUAUAACCAAGGUCCGAAGAAUAAAUGCAACAUUGUUUUUGGAUUACAUAAGUGAAACAGGAAGAAAAGAUAGAGGGAGACGCUAGGGCCUGCGGACGCCUGCAGGACUACCUUGGAUCUCAGUGUGGACUGAAGGUAGCCACCAAGCUACGGUCCAAAAGCUGCUGCUCCGGGAUCUGCACACAGUGCAGAGUGUAGUAUCAGCACAACCGACCCCAUGUGCUGGUAAGUGCCUAGUCUAACCUUGGCGAAGUAGUGACGAGGCUAGGACAAGACUACCAAAUAAACCUGUGCAGUAAAAGCAUAUACAUAUAUAGCAAGUAAUAAUAAAGGACACUAUCAGUUUAAGAUGGGAAGGGGAUAUGUUAUGGGGAAUAUCAUUUGCCAACAGUAACUCAGGAAGAAAACACAAAGAACAAUUUAAAAUUCGAAGCAGAAGGAAUAAGGAAAAAAAACAAAUCAAUAUCCUUUUAUUGAAUAUCGUGAUGGUUUAAAAAUAUCCCAAUGUUGUAGCAAAAAUAAAACUUAUUCUAAUGAUAAAUGUUGUUUUAGGCACACUACGACACAAGAGGAGGGUUAACUGGAUAGUUAACACUUAAAAAUUCUUCCAAAGUUUUUUAAAAAUUUGCUUAACCUAUAGAAUCUAGACGAUGUAAUUGGUUCUCAAAUUUAUCCUAGUUACUGCAAGUAAAAGCAACGCGGAAUUAAGGAAAGAACGACGCACAAACGUUUACGUAAAUAUAAUUGUGGUUCGAAGGUGUAAAGAUCACGACCUAACCUAAUAGCAUUUACUAACUCAAACUCCACUAAAAUAAAGAGUCAGUACUCAUAUUACAACUUUGUAAUCUAAGAGAUUAAUUCCAAUCACUCUCCCCAACAAUCACUAGGUUGUUGCCCUUCGAUUUAAUUCUAACUUGAAAUAGAUUGUUUAGUGUCCUAUGCUCAAAGAGUCAUAUGGCGUAAAUUAUUUGGUGUACCUGUAUAAAAUCGAGGUUUCAAAUUCCAUGUUUGUCUUGUUGUUUUUUUCUAUCUUUUCCUACAAUUAAACCCGGUGUGUGAUGUAUUCAUUGUAAAAACGUCAAGAUUAAACCCGUCCAAUAUAAAUAUUGAAUCUAUCUCUUUAUAAUAAUGUACGGUGCACCCAUCUUCUUAAACUACUGGUUAUUCAUCUCUUUCAAUGGCGAAGCCACAUGGUUAGACCACCCUUCGUCAAAAAAUUGUACUGUGUAUAUAGAUAAAAUAUUAUAUUUUAGAGGUAUAUAACAUAUAUUGGACACCCUUUGUCGGAAAUUUUUUUCACUUCUUUCAAAUUUGAAUACAACAAAUUCCUAGCUUCGACACUGAUCUCUUCACCAUGAUGCUGAAUCACUUAAUCUACUUGGUUCUUCACAAGUAACAUCAAAACUUAGGCCAAAAAUUUAAUAGAGGUUAAAGUUGUUCAAUUUCGUAUAAUAUAAAUGUAUACGGUGAAAUCGGAGGGUCCAAUCUCUCAUUAUCAAAGCACCUCGGAAGACCGUCUCGAAGUCCCGAGGCUACAAGGCUACGAUCAGGACUCCUCCCUCGAGGUUUGUCGACACUCGAUGUUGAGAUAAUGUCAACCACGGCCACAGUGGAAACGGGGAGUUCCCAUGGCACGUGGCUAGGACUGACGAAACCUAGAGAGCUACUCUAAGACCCGAGUCAGGGUGUCAUCUAAUUGUCGCGUCUCCAUACCCUUGUAAUUAAUGCUUGUUAUACUAUGAAGGGAUUUCCCUCCUAUAUAAAGGGGAUCCUCCCCACUUUGUAGACUUUGUUGCUUCAGCUACUCCACACGAAAAAUACAUGAAUAUUCUUUUUGCCCUCUAGCAUACUCUCUUAAUAUUAUUGUUUUCAUUUAUUGUCUUCAUAUUUGUUCGUCAUUCGCCAUAAAAAGCCUUCGCUGAUUAUUUCAUAACUGUUAGCCCUACCCCGAUCACCCACGACAGCUCGAGCCCGAGCCCUGGCAUCAACCUCGAGGCCACAAAUCGAUAGGCUCGAGGCCCUGAAUAGCUCACGUAGCGGUUUGAUUAUAGCCUUCUCCCUAACUUUAUUUCGUCUCUAAGUCUCACAUACCCAGCAUCAACUGCUUAUCAAACUAGCAUAAAAAAUAGAUCACGUAUUUUUAGAGUCCCAUCAACAAAUUUAAUUGUCAUUACCAUUUUCACGGUAAACAGUUUGGCGUCCACCGUGGGGCUAAAAAUAAUAGUGAUUGUUUUCUUGCUGGUUUUACUACAUAACGCAAGUUAUCUUUCACGCUUUUUCUUUUCCAAUAUCUUCGAUUUCAGGUAAAAAUGUCUAACUCGGUAAACGGAGAUGAAAACAACAAUCUUGAGGACCAUGGGGAGAACGGUGUGGCUAUUCUAGGUAUUGUUGUGCCGCCACAAAACCAUGGGAAUGCGCCGGAGCCAAUCCCCGUGGACGCGGCCUCACGCGACGCCCAACGCAUCGGCAUAAGCUCCAACACUGACAGGAUCGUGCACCAAGGGGAUCAACAAGAAGCAUAGAAAACCCCAACUAGGGAAGAACGUGAGGUUAGCCUUCAUGUUAUUUUUGAAAUGUUGCAGGCAAAACAUCUAGUUAUUGCUCAGCUGCAAAGUCACCAGAAAACUCCUGGCACGGUAGCACCGGGGACAGCUCCCCCGGUCGAACAGGUACCUGAGAGAUCGAGCAAUAACGGGUUGAUAGCCGACCCUGUCAUCGUAAAAAUACUCGAGGACCUCACCAAAAGAAUCAAAUCAGGCGAGAAAAUGAUAGAAGCCAACGACAAAAAGGUCGAGACCUACAACUCCAGGGUCGACCAGAUUCCGGGCGCGCCACCGAUCCUGAAAGGUAUGGAUUCGAAGAAGUUCAUACAAAGGUCGUUCCCUGAGAAAACGGCCCUAAAACCCAUUCCAUAGAAGUUCAGAAUGCCGGAGAUCCCAAAGUACAAAGGGGCCUUAGACCCCAAUAAACACAUUACUGCCUACACUUGCGCAGUAAAGGAAAACGAUAUAAAGAACGACGAGAUCGAAUCCGUAUUACUGAAAUAGUUCGGGGAAACACUCUCGAAGCGGGCCAUGAUGUGGUAUCACAACUUAGCUCCUAACUCCAUAGACUCAUUCGCCAUGCUAGCAGACUCCUUCAUAAAGGCACAUGUCGGUGCCAUCAAAGUAGCAACGAGGAAAUCUGGCGUUUUCAAAAUUAAGCAAAGGGAGAACGAGAUGCUGCGAGAAUUUGUAUCUCGUUUUCAAAUGGAACUAAUGGAGCUACCGCCAGUCUCCGACGACUGGGCGGUGCAGGCUUUCAUUCAAGGUCUGAACGAACGAAACUCUAUGGCUUCAAAACAGUUGAAGCAAAAUUUGAUCGAGUAUCCAGCUGUGACCUCGUUGGACAUCCACAACUGGCACCAAUCGAAAAUCAGGGUCGAGGACGACCAGUUGGGAGCCCCCUUGGGCUCAGUAUACCAAAGCUGGAGCCAAAACAAAACAAAGCAAGAUAUCAGCCAUACAUCAAAGACAAGAGAACGCCUCGAGGCGCACCCCACCUCGCAAUGAUCGAAGGAUAGAUCGAGGACAGGAUCCUCGGGGACUCACCAACAGAGCCAGGUUCGAUAGGAACGCAGGGCCAACGGGGGCACCUCACUUGUCAGAAUACAAAUUCAACGUUGAUGUAUCGGACAUCGUGUUUUCCAUCAGUAAAAUCAGAGAUGCCAGAUGGCCCAAGCCUGUACAAUUAGAUCCUUCACAAAUGAAUCAUAACUUACUGUGCGAAUUUCACAACACGCACGGCCACAGGACCGAGGAUUUCCACCGAGGAUUGACACCAACUCCGAGAAGAGGUAGCUCGACUACUUAAAAAAGGUCAUCUCCGGGAAUUCCUUAGCGACCGAGCCAAAAAUCAAUUCCGGAAAAGAGAGGCGGCUAAGAAGAACGAAGAAAACAAGCCACAACAUGUCAUCCACAUGAUCUUGGGAGGAGUUGAUGCCCCACUGGAACCCGUAAUGAGAAGGACAAAAAUAUCCAUCACCCGAGAAAAGCAAACCUGGGGAUAUAUUCUUGAGGACGCCCUCACAUUCAGCAAAGAGGACACCGAGACCUUGUCUCAACCUCACAAUGAUGCACUGGUAAUCUCUUUCCUUGUGAAUUCUUUUCAAAUAAAACGUGUACUCAUGGAUCUAAGUAGCUCGGCCAACAUUAUCAGGUCGAGGGUGAUAGAGCAUCUCGAACUGCUUAACCAAAUCGUGCCCGCCACUCAAGUCCUCAACGGAUUCGAUUUGGCAAGUGAAACAACAAAAGGAGAAAUCACACUCCCUAUCACCGUGGCCGGCACGACCCAAAAUGCCAAAUUCCAUGUAAUCGAAGGAGUCAUGAGGUAUAACGCGUUGUUCGGACGAUCGUGAAUACACUGCAUGAGGGCAGUACCGUUCACUCUACACUAAAUGAUGAAAUUCCCGACAAAGGAUGGGAUUAAAACUGUCUACGAGGAACAACAUGCGGCAAGGGAAAUGUUCGCGGUACACGACGUGGCACCGACACCCAUGCAUCCGCUCGCAAAAAAUCCAAAGGGUAAUCAAGGCACACCCUCAAUCAAGCUCGAUUAAACAAAAUAAAGGACCGUACUGCAUCCUCAUCUCAAGUGAUUGGAACAUAUCAGUCCUCAAAACAUCGUCAGCGCGUCUCACACUAAGGUAUAACCAUCUCCCUUUUCAUUUCGUAUUUCAGACUAACCCUUAUGCAGGCGCCCGAUCGAAGCAGUCAGAAUGAUAAACAGUUCGAAUACCUUGAGGUUUUAAAGCAUCCGUUGCACUCUUUUCCUUCGACCGAGUUUUUAUCCCGAAAAGGGUUUUACCGGCAAGGUUUUUAACA
rnacentral:lncRNA from 1 species